rnacentral:rRNA from 1 species
CCAGACUCCUACGGGAGGCAGCAGUGGGGAAUAUUGGACAAUGGGGGGAACCCUGAUGCAGCGACGCCGCGUGGGUGAAGAAGUAAUUCGUUACGUAAAGCCCUAUCAGCAGGGAAGAAAAUGACGGUACCUGACUAAGAAGCCCCGGCUAACUACGUGCCAGCAGCCGCGGUAAUACGUAGGGGGCAAGCGUUAUCCGGAUUUACUGGGUGUAAAGGGAGCGUAGGCGGCGAUGCAAGUCAGAAGUGAAAGCCCGGGGCUCAACUCCGGGACUGCUUUUGAAACUGUAUAGCUUGAGUGCAGGAGAGGUAAGCGGAAUUCCUAGUGUAGCGGUGAAAUGCGUAGAUAUUAGGAGGAACACCAGUGGCGAAGGCGGCUUACUGGACUGUAACUGACGUUGAGGCUCGAAAGCGUGGGGAGCAAACAGGAUUAGAUACCCUUGUA